CUACGGAGGGUGCAAGCGUUACUCGGAAUCACUGGGCGUAAAGCGCGCGCAGGCGGUCUUUUAAGUUGGAUGUGAAAGCCUACGGCUCAACCGUAGAACUGCAUCCAAAACUAUUAGACUAGAGUGUGGGAGAGGAAGAUGGAAUUAGUUGUGUAGGGGUAAAAUCCGUAGAGAUAACUAGGAAUACCAAAAGCGAAGGCAAUCUUCUGGAACACUACUGACGCUGAGGCGCGAAAGCGUGGGGUGCAAACAGGAUUAGAAACCCUAGUAGUCC
rnacentral:rRNA from 1 species